UACGUAGGGCGCAAGCGUUGUCCGGAAUUAUUGGGCGUAAAGAGCUCGUAGGUGGCUUGUCACGUCGGGUGUGAAAGCUUGGGGCUUAACUCCAGGUCUGCAUUCGAUACGGGCUGGCUAGAGGUAGGUAGGGGAGAACGGAAUUCCUGGUGUAGCGGUGAAAUGCGCAGAUAUCAGGAGGAACACCAAUGGCGAAGGCAGCACUCUGGGACGUGACUGACGCUGAGGCGCGAAAGCGUGGGGAGCGAACAGG
rnacentral:rRNA from 1 species